UGGAACUAUGGUCAGGGAUGUUGGAAAGUCACCCAAAACAUCCACUGACUGAGGAUCGAGCCACCGGAUAGCAGUUAAACCCUAGGUUCAACCACCAGAAACCCUAGAAGCUGGUAAGUCACCGAAAAAUCAGCCAAAAAUCACCGGAAAAUCUCUCAGAAUGUUCGAGUGAAGAAAAUAUACUCAGAUAUCACGAUGAAAGUCUCAGAAAAGCAUCCGAUUUAGAUCGGAAUCCUCAUCGACCACAUACGUCAGGAACACCCCCAAAAAUCUCAAAGGAGACUUCAACGAAGAUAACAAGAUGCAGAGAAACAUAGUCGGAUCAUCGUCUAGGCUCUGCUACCAUGAAAACAUUAAGAUUAAACUGAAGAAUCAUGGAGAAUAUAGUGAGAGAAACAAGAGAGAGAAGGAGGUAGUUGAGAGAAGGAUCGAGAAGAUCCAGAGAGAUUUUUAUUAAAAAC
rnacentral:lncRNA from 1 species